AUGCACGCUGGCGGCGUGCCUAAUACAUGCCAGUCGAGCGAACAGACGAGGAGCUUGCUCCUCUGACGUUAGCGGCGGACGGGUGAGUAACACGUGGAUAACCUACCUAUAAGACUGGGAUAACUUCGGGAAACCGGAGCUAAUACCGGAUAAUAUAUUGAACCGCAUGGUUCAAUAGUGAAAGACGGUUUUGCUGUCACUUAUAGAUGGAUCCGCGCCGCAUUAGCUAGUUGGUAAGGUAACGGCUUACCAAGGCGACGAUGCGUAGCCGACCUGAGAGGGUGAUCGGCCACACUGGAACUGAGACACGGUCCAGACUCCUACGGGAGGCAGCAGUAGGGAAUCUUCCGCAAUGGGCGAAAGCCUGACGGAGCAACGCCGCGUGAGUGAUGAAGGUCUGCGGAUCGUAAAACUCUGUUAUUAGGGAAGAACAAAUGUGUAAGUAACUAUGCACGUCUUGACGGUACCUAAUCAGAAAGCCACGGCUAACUACGU
rnacentral:rRNA from 1 species